rnacentral:rRNA from 1 species
GACGAACCGAGCGACCGUUGUUCGGAAUCACUGGGCUUAAAGGGCGCGUAGGCGGGCAUUCAAGUCUGUGGUGAAAUCCUCCAGCUCAACUGGAGAACUGCCAUGGAUACUGGGUGUCUCGAGGGUGGUAGGGGUAUGCGGAACUAUCGGUGGAGCGGUGAAAUGCGUUGAUAUCGAUAGGAACUCCGGUGGCGAAGGCGGCAUACUGGACCACAUCUGACGCUGAGGCGCGAAAGCCAGGGGAGCGAACGGG